UAGACCUCAAAUCAGUCAGGACUACCCGCUGAACUUAAGCAUAUCAAUAAGCGGAGGAAAAGAAACUAACAAGGAUUCCCCUAGUAACGGCGAGUGAAGUGGGAAAAGCUCAACUUUGAAAUCUGGCUGCUUUGCAGUCCGAGUUGUAGUUUCGAGAAGUGUUUUCCGCGGCAAUCCAUGUAUGAGUCUGUUGGAACACAGCGUCAUAGAGGGUGAGAACCCCGUUCAUGGCAUGGCUAUUGUUGCUUUGUGAUACACUUUCGACGAGUCGAGUUGUUUGGGAAUGCAGCUCAAAUUGGGUGGUAAAUUCCAUCUAAAGCUAAAUAUUGGCGAGAGACCGAUAGCAAACAAGUACCGUGAGGGAAAGAUGAAAAGCACUUUGGAAAGAGAGUUAAAAGUACGUGAAAUUGUCGAAAGGGAAACGAUUGAAGUCAGACGUGCAUGGUACUCGUUACCUUUGCAGGCCAACAUCGGUUUUGCGAGUCGGAUAAAGGUAGAGGAAAGGUAGCAGUCUAGGCUGUGUUAUAGUCCUCUACUGAAUACGGAUUGCGAGACCGAGGGACGCAGUGCGCCGCAAGGCAAAGGGUCCGCCCUUUACGCACUUAGGAUGUUGGUGAAAUGGCUUUAAACGACCCGUCUUGAAACACG
rnacentral:rRNA from 1 species